rnacentral:rRNA from 1 species
GUGCAGCAGGCGCGAAACCUCCGCAAUACACGAAAGUGUGACGGGGCCAUCCCGAGUGCCGUCCGCUGAGGACGGCUUUUCCCCAGUGUACACAGCUGGGGGAAUAAGGAGAGGGCAAGCCUGGUGUCAGCCGCCGCGGUAAUACCAGCUCUCCGAGUGGUGGGGACGCUUAUUGGGCCUAAAGCAUCCGUAGCCGGCUGGGCAAGUCCUCCGUUAAAUCCAACGAUUCAAUCGUUGGGCUGCGGGGGAUACUGUCCAGCUUGGGGGCGGGAGAGGCCGACGGUAUCCCCGGGGUAGGGGUGAAAUCCUAUAAUCCCGGGAGGACCACCAGUGGCGAAGGCUGUCGGCUAGAACGCGCCCGACGGUGAGGGAUGAAAGCUGGGGGAGCGAACCGGAUUAGAUAUCCGGGUAGU